UGCAAGUCGAGCGGCCCUGUCAAGGCGUUAUGUUUUGGCAGGUUUAGCGGCGGACGGGUGAGUAACGCGUGAGCAACCUACCCUUGAGACAGGGAUAACCCUGGGAAACCGGGGCUAAUACCUGAUAUACUCUAUUAGGGCAUCCUGAUGGAGGAAAGGGCGGGAAGCCGCUCAAGGAUGGGCUCGCGUCCCAUCAGCUAGUUGGUGAGGUAACGGCUCACCAAGGCGACGACGGGUAGCCGGCCUGAGAGGGUGGUCGGCCACACUGGGACUGAGACACGGCCCAGACUCCUACGGGAGGCAGCAGUGGGGAAUCUUGCGCAAUGGGCGAAAGCCUGACGCAGCGACGCCGCGUGAGCGAGGAAGGCCUUCGGGUCGUAAAGCUCGAUAGUGUGGGAAGAAGGGAUGACGGUACCACACGAAAG
rnacentral:rRNA from 1 species